rnacentral:lncRNA from 1 species
UCCGGAUAUCGAGUGCCAUUGCUAGAUGGUUACUCUAAUUGAUAUAGGAAUUUGUUCCUGUGCUACCAGAUUAGGUUUAAAGCUAUAGGGUCACACACAUUAGAAGUUCUUCUCCGAUCACAUGGCUAAUCUGAAGAGUUCCAGUGGACGGAGAGUCUGGUGAAGAGUCUCACUAAACUUAAAGUCUAUCAAUAAUGGAGGAUUAAUUAGUGAUUAGA